rnacentral:rRNA from 1 species
UACGUAGGGGGCUAGCGUUGUCCGGAAUCAUUGGGCGUAAAGCGCGCGUAGGCGGCCAGAUAAGUCCGGUGUGAAAGUCACAGGCUCAACCUGUGAAUGCCGCUGGAAACUGUCUGGCUAGAGUGCGGAAGAGGCGAGUGGAAUUCCUGGUGUAGCGGUGAAAUGCGCAGAUAUCAGGAGGAACACCUAUUGCGAAGGCAGCUCGCUGGGACGUAACUGACGCUGAGACGCGAAAGCGUGGGGAGCAAACAGG